GGGACUGUGGCUCAGAGGUAGAGCGUCUGCUUCGCACGCAGAAAGUCCCAGGUUCGAUCUCUGGCAUCUCCA